rnacentral:lncRNA from 1 species
UGUGCUAAGGUGCGCAGCUCAUCAUAGGAUUAUCACAUCUAGAAUUCUGGUUCUUAGAGCUUUGGUUUCUAUAACCCUUAUUUGCUUGUCUUGUCUUUUGUUUUACGGGUUUCAAGCUUCAGCACAAAUCUUCUGUAGGAAAUCUUGUACUCAAAGUGUAGAAAAAUGCCGUUUUUGUGAAAUGUCACAGGAGCUACAUUACUAACAUUGUUGUAAUGUUUGUAUGGCAGCCUAUUCUUUAAUCCGUUCAAUUACAGAGUUUAUGAUUAUGUAAAUGGAGUAUGAGAUCUGAGAAGAAAAAAAAGGUAAUAGUACUUUCGUUCACAGGCAGAUUCAACAUAUCCUCGUUUACUUCCCCAUUGUCUUCUGACUGACUCCUUAAAUCAUCAACAUGUGUGUAUAUAUAGUUGCAUCUGAUUCAAGGAAGAUAAUGGACAAGUACAUUGGUAUGAACAGGUCGUCGAUUUUGAUAGAAAAUGCUACAGAAUACACAUCAACUAUUAUGCUACAGAAUACACAUAAUUAGUUAUAGAUCAGUAGGCUACUCAUCUGGUUAGUUUUCUCAAGUCAUUUCUUCUCUGUGUAUAUAUGUUAUUUUCCUUUUUACACUAACAAGAGUUUCGUGC